CCAGGUUUGUUUGUAUUUGUUUGCUUACAGCAAGAUGCCAGCGUCAGGUUUAAUUCUCUGCAUUCCCAACAUCAGAUUUUAAAGAACCAGCAUGAUGACCUAAAAAAGCAGCAUUAUGAACUACAAGAGCAACAUCAGCUACAAGAAGAUGAACACAACAAGGCAGUAGAUGAACAUAAACAGAGACUGGACCAGCUUCAUCAGAAUAAAGAGUCUGAGAUUUCUAAGCUCCAAGACAAUAUAUAUAACCUACGUGAGGAGAACAAGCAGCUGAGAAAAGCUCAUCAGGAAGUCUAUGUGCAGCUUCAGGACAC